UUCUCAAGAAAAAAAGUGACCUGUCAUCUACCUCCUCCCCACGAGUCCUUCGCCACCUUGCCCAUGCGCCGCCUCGGCCACCAAUCCACCGUACCUCUCUCUCCCGGCCAUCACCCUCUCUGUCUCCUCUUACGCGGGGCGACCGCGACCGAUGCACACUGCCUCCUUCUCCCUAUCAUCACCACCCUCCUGAAAGUAUGAACUCCUGCGCCUAAAUCGAAUGGCUCUCGCGCGCAUAUAUAUAUCCACCAUGGGCGCCCCCUCCAACGGCUUCCCUGCGCAGACCCGCCAGUGGCUCCUUCCCCCGGCAUCAUAUCCAUGCAUAACUCUAACAAGCAGCGAGGUCUUCCCGAUCUGAGUUAAGGAGCCGUUUCUCUGAUUCAUCGUAUGGCCAAGAUCCUUGAAAUUAAGACUUCGGUGUCUUAGAUCAUCUUCUCCGACCAACACAAUUUGAGAGAAGAGAUCACGCACUCUUUCAUCAUUGCAGACGUGUGAAACCAGGGUGCUUUUACCUACAUGUACUGGACCAACAAUUGGCAGGACAUCAAUACUUGUUUCUGUACCUGGAGACUUUGUUUGCCUCAAGAAAUCCAUGAUCAUUUCCAGCUCCAUUUGGCGUCCAAACAUGCACCUGUCAAGAAGCAGGUGCAUGCUGUAAGGUUGCCGGUACAAAGGCGGGUAAUUCUUCAGGAACACGACGAAAUCACUCACAUCAACAAUGAUGUCAUUCAAAUUGUUAAGCACUUGCUGCAGUUCUUUCUCACAACUUGUGUCACCAAUACAGAGAAAGAGACGCUUGGCAGGAUUGAAUUUAGACAGGGCAAAACUGUGACUCACCCCACCAUCUUCUCCAUUGCCUUGGCUUCUGAAAGUGUCUAGGAUGUAAUAACCUCUAUACAUCUCCUUCCUCAGUAUGCCCAGCUGAUGUACCA